GACUUCAAGAGGCCCGAGGUACCUGCGGAAGCUGCCGGUGCUCUGUGCCCCCUGAAACAACUGAUAGGGUAUUCUCUCGAACUCUCAACAGCGAGGGCCGGCUCUUACUGUGCAUUUCAUGAAAUUUCACCACAACUACGCCAGGAAUCCGUAUGGGAUUUUCAAUAUUCCAUGAUCAGCGAUCAACAAGGUGCAUACCCCUAGUGCUUCAAGAGCAGAGCGGAGGAAGGCUAAGAAACCAGAAAGAAAAUGAAGAGAGUCGCGACACUGAACGACAAAUUAAAGUGUCUGAAAAAUAUUUAGAACCU